rnacentral:lncRNA from 1 species
CUGUAUUAAACUUGACAUAAUGAAAGCAUAGUGGGGCUCGUCUGGAGAGCUUGGAGAUGUGCAACUAAAAAGGCGAGGAAAAAUAAAGAGAUGUGAAGAGGUUGCAGGUUACAGACUGGAACAAAAUGACACUGGAAAGAACUCGUGUUUCUUCAAGGAUAAAGGGGAUCCUUUUGAGACUUCCCCAGAGCUCCUGGUGCUCCCAGCAUGACUCAGGCCAUGUACCGCAGGAGGUAGAAAACCCUGCCUAAUCCCUUCAGUGCUUUUACAAAUAUCUAUAUUUCCUUGCUGAGGAGAUCUGAAGAUUACCGCUACAGCCCAUGUAUCUGUGGACAAUGAGUUAUUAUUAUCCGCACAUGGUGGUUUUUCAUCGGCCCAGCAAUCUAUUAUAUGGCCAAGCAGCUUUUCUGCUGUGGAUCUUGGG